GUGCCUAACACAUGCAAGUCGAGCGAGGAGAUUCCUCGGGAUGAUCCUAGCGGCGGACGGGUGAGUAACACGUGGGCAACCUGCCUCAUAGAGAGGAAUAGCCUUCCGAAAGGAGAUUAACACCUCAUAACAUUGCAGUUUCGCAUGAAACAGCAAUUAAAGGAGCAAUCCGCUAUGAGAUGGGCCCGCGGCGCAUUAGCUAGUUGGUGAGGUAACGGCUCACCAAGGCGACGAUGCGUAGCCGACCUGAGAGGGUGAUCGGCCACAUUGGGACUGAGACACGGCCCAGACUCCUACGGGAGGCAGCAGUGGGGAAUAUUGCACAAUGGGGGAAACCCUGAUGCAGCCAACGCCGCGUGAGUGAUGACGGCCUUCGGGUUGUAAAGCUCUGUCUUCAGGGACGAUAAUGACGGUACCUGAGGAGGAAGCCACGGCUAACUACGUGCCAGCAGCAGC
rnacentral:rRNA from 1 species